GGCCUGGCUGCCUGCUGAGGGGGCAAAAUUGCUAUGUUGAAGUGACACUUGGUUGUCCUAGAUCAGAAAGUGAGAAGGGAUUGCGAUCAAACUCAAAUUUGAUUUACCUAAGAAUCACGUUGUGGAAUCUCCUGCUAUAGGAAGAGGUGAUCAUAAGGGAUCUCCAGUUCAAACAUCUGUACAUGAGAAAGCAUUUAUCUAUCCAGCGGAGGCAGUAGUUGUUCCAGUCUUGCAAACAUCUUUUGCUAGAUCU
rnacentral:misc_RNA from 1 species